rnacentral:rRNA from 1 species
UACGUAGGUGGCAAGCGUUGUCCGGAAUUAUUGGGCGUAAAGCGCGCGCAGGUGGGAUCUUAAGUCUGUUCUGAAAGUUCGGAGCUUAACUCCGUGAUGGGAUGGAAACUGGGAUUCUUGAGUAUCGGAGAGGAAAGCGGAAUUCCCCGUGUAGCGGUGAAAUGCGUAGAUAUGGGGAGGAACACCAGUGGCGAAGGCGGCUUUCUGGACGAUGUCUGACACUGAGGCGCGAAAGCUAGGGGAGCGAACGGG